CACAGUGCAGUGUCGGUGUUCCAAAGAAUGGAGCCACAGAACCCUGCCACCCGUUGGACUCCGAAAGCUUGCUUCCUUUGCCUUUGGUGUCAGGUCAAGGAGCACAUGAUCUGCAAAGUGAGAAGUAUUACAGCAGAAUCACUGUUUCCCUCUGUGAGUGAUCCUCAGGUGGAGCAUGUGGGGGGAGGGGAACCAGUUGGAGGUCCGGGGUCACCAUUAUAGUGAGGGCAAACAAACCCCAGCCCCAAACAGCAAGCAGAAUGGCUGUGCUGUUCUGUCUGAGGGCAGCUGCUGAAGUCAAAGGAGGGAGUUACAGAGGUAAAAAUCGUAUGAUUCAGUGCCACCUACUGGAAAAUAAUAGACCUCUUCAGGGAAAGCUGCUAGAGAAAGGCCGAUAUCACACAGGUGCCGAGACAGAGGAGGCCAGUGAAUACCAUGGUAUUCAUAAAAAAAUGAAAAAUCUCCAAAAGCAAACUGGGACACAUGGAAAUAUAUGAUAUACAUGACAUAGAGAAUUCAAAAUUGCAGUUCUGAAAAUACCAGGAUGUGGGAGAAUGCAGACAGGCAACUUAAUGCAUUCAGAAGACAAAUUAACAAAACGAGUACUUUACCAAACAGAUUGAAACUUUAAAAAAGAACCAAUCAGAAAUCCUGGAAAUGAAGCAUUCAGUUAAGGAGAUUAGGGGUGAACUACUGAGCGUAGGAAACAAAGCUGACCAGAUAGAGGAAAGAAUUAAUGAUAGUAAAGAUAGAAAUCUGUAAUGAUGCAGAGGGAUGAAGAGAGAGACCUGAGCAUUAACAAAAUAAUUUAAAGAAAAAAGACCUCUACAAGAACUAUCUGACUACAUCAGAAAAAGCAAUAUAAGACUAAUAAGCAUACUGGAAGAAGAAGGGGAGAAGGGAACGGAGAGCCUCUUCAAACAGUCGAUAAGAACUUCCCAAACCAUGGAAAGAACUAGAUCCUCAAAUCCAAGAAGCAAACGGAACACCUAGUUACCUCAAUUCAAAGAGGCCCUCUCCAAGGUACAUUGUAUUAAAAGUCAAAAAUUAAUGAUAAGAAAAAAUUCUCAAAGCAGCCAGGGAAAAGAAAGAAGUGACCUGCAAAGGAAAACCCAUCAGGUUAUCAUUGGACUUCUCAGCAGAAUCUACAGGCCAGAAGAAACUGGAACCAAAUACUCAAAACAACUGAAAGAGAGAAAUUACCAGACAAAGACAAUAUAUCCAGCAAAGUUAUCCUUUAGAUAUAAAGAAAUAAAGACUUCCCCAGACAUACAGCAGCUGAAGGAAUUUAUCAUCAGAAAACCUUCAUUGCAAGAAAUACUCAGGGGGUUAUUCUACCUGAAACAAAGAGCAUAAGGUCACAACACUACGUGUAAGAUCACCAAAACUCUUAAAGCAUAAACGGAUAAUUUGAGGGAGGUAGAACAUAAAAGGGGAGGGAGGUAAAGGUCUGAACUGGCAAAGGAACAUGGAGAUCAGAUGCACUCAAAAGGAAAAAAACUGUAGAUAUGCAACUUUCUUUUUCAUAAACGUAAUGAUAACCACACACAAGAACACCAAAAGUAAGAUACACCACUUAAAAAGAGAGGAAUCAGAGGAAAGAAGUAUGUAAUACCACCAAACAAAAACAGCGGACAGAAACACAAAGGAAAAGAACCAAUGGAGGCACAGAGCU